rnacentral:rRNA from 1 species
GACGAACGCUGGCGGCGUGCUUAACACAUGCAAGUCGAACGGAAAGGCCUGCUUUCCCUUGUGGUUUGCGGGUACUCGAGUGGCGAACGGGUGAGUAACACGUGAGUGAUCUGCCCCCAACUUGGGUAUAAGCCUGGGAAACUGGGUCUAAUUCCCGAUAGUACUGCAGGGUGGUGCCUGUGGUGGAAAACGAUUUUCUAGUGGUUGGGGAUGAGCUCGCGGCCUAUCAGCUUGUUGGUGGGGUAAUGGCCUACCAAGGCGGCGACGGGUAGCCGGCCUGAGAGGGUGGACGGCCACAUUGGGACGGAGAGACGGCCCAGACGCCUACGGGAGGCAGCAGUGGGGAAUAUUGCACAAUGGGCGGAAGCCUGAUGCAGCGACGCCGCGUGGGAGAUGACGGCCUUCGGGUUGUAAACUCCUUGCGACCGCGAGGAAGCCACCUGGUUGGAAGGGUGGUGACGGUAGUGGUAGAAGAAGCACCGGCUAACUACGUG